AGUGAACGCUGGCGGUAGGCCUAACACAUGCAAGUCGAACGGCAGCACAGUAAGAGCUUGCUCUUACGGGUGGCGAGUGGCGGACGGGUGAGGAAUACAUCGGAAUCUACUUUUUCGUGGGGGAUAACGUAGGGAAACUUACGCUAAUACCGCAUACGACCUACGGGUGAAAGCAGGGGAUCUUCGGACCUUGCGCGAUUGAAUGAGCCGAUGUCGGAUUAGCUAGUUGGCGGGGUAAAGGCCCACCAAGGCGACGAUCCGUAGCUGGUCUGAGAGGAUGAUCACCCACACGGGAACUGGGAAACGUCCAGACUCCUACGGGAGGCAGCAGUGGGGAAUAUUGGACAAUGGGCGCAAGCCUGAUCCAGCCAUACCGCGUGGGUGAAGAAGGCCUUCGGGUUGUAAAGCCCUUUUGUUGGGAAAGAAAAGCAGCAGGUUAAUACCCCGCUGUUCUGACGGUACCCAAAGAAUAAGCACCGGCUAACUUCGUG
rnacentral:rRNA from 1 species